GACGAACGCUGGCGGCGUGCUUAACACAUGCAAGUCGAGCGGAAAGGCCCUUCGGGGUACUCGAGCGGCGAACGGGUGAGUAACACGUGAGUAACCUGCCCCAGACUUUGGGAUAACCCUCGGAAACGGGGGCUAAUACCGGAUACGACACAGCUUCGCAUGGGGUCUGUGUGGAAAGUUUUUCGGUUUGGGAUGGGCUCGCUGCCUAUCAGCUUGUUGGUGGGGUGAUGGCCUACCAAGGCGACGACGGGUAGCCGGCCUGAGAGGGCGACCGGCCACACUGGGACUGAGACACGGCCCAGACUCCUACGGGAGGCAGCAGUGGGGAAUAUUGCACAAUGGGCGGAAGCCUGAUGCAGCGACGCCGCGUGAGGGAUGACGGCCUUCGGGUUGUAAACCUCUUUCAGCAGGGACGAAGCGUAAGUGACGGUACCUGCAGAAGAAGCGCCGGCCAACUACGUG
rnacentral:rRNA from 1 species